CCAGACUCCUACGGGAGGCAGCAGUGGGGAAUAUUGCACAAUGGGGGAAACCCUGAUGCAGCAACGCCGCGUGAGUGAUGACGGCCUUCGGGUUGUAAAGCUCUGUCUUCAGGGACGAUAAUGACGGUACCUGAGGAGGAAGCCACGGCUAACUACGUGCCAGCAGCCGCGGUAAUACGUAGGUGGCGAGCGUUGUCCGGAAUUACUGGGUGUAAAGGGAGCGUAGGCGGGAGUGCAAGUUGAAUGUAUAAACUACCGGCUUAACCGGUAGAAGCGUUCAAAACUGCACUUCUUGAGUGAAGUAGAGGCAGGCGGAAUUCCUAGUGUAGCGGUGAAAUGCGUAGAUAUUAGGAGGAACACCAGUGGCGAAGGCGGCCUGCUGGGCUUUAACUGACGCUGAGGCUCGAAAGCGUGGGUAGCAAACAGGAUUAGAUACCCCAGUAC
rnacentral:rRNA from 1 species